ACGCUCGACACCUACGGGAGACAGCAGUGGGGAAGUAUUGCACAAUGGGGGAAACCCGUACGAUGCAGCGACGCCGCGUGAGCGAAGAAGUAUUUCGGUAUGUAAAGCUCUAUCAGCAGGGAAGAAACUGACGGUACCUGACUAAGAAGCACCGGCUAAAUACGUGCCAGCAGCCACGGUAAUCUGAGCGGGCUGGCAAGGC
rnacentral:rRNA from 1 species